AUACUCUGGUUUCUCUUCAGAUUGUAUAAAUCUUUCGCCUUUUACUCAAGAUUUCCAUGGAGAGGAGUAACUCUGAGUCUUAAACCAAAGGCCUUGUCUUGACAAGGCU
ensembl:snRNA LOC120094046 U5 spliceosomal RNA